rnacentral:tRNA from 1 species
GGCUUCAUAGCUCAGAUGGUUAGAGCACUCGCCUGUCACGCGAGAGGUCGCGGGUUCGAGUCCCGCUGGAGUCGCCA